rnacentral:rRNA from 1 species
AGAAGCAGCCAUCAUUUAAAGAGUGCGUAAUAGCUCACUAGUCGAGUGACACUGCGCCGAAAAUGUACCGGGGCUAAACAUAUUACCGAAGCUGUGGAUUGUCCUUUGGACAAUGGUAGGAGAGCGUUCUAAGGGCGUUGAAGCAUGAUCGUAAGGACAUGUGGAGCGCUUAGAAGUGAGAAUGCCGGUGUGAGUAGCGAAAGACGGGUGAGAAUCCCGUCCACCGAUUGACUAAGGUUUCCAGAGGAAGGCUCGUCCGCUCUGGGUUAGUCGGGUCCUAAGCUGAGGCCGACAGGCGUAGGCGAUGGAUAACAGGUUGAUAUUCCUGUACCACCUAUAAUCGUUUUA